UCUAAUUUCUUAGUAACAAAACAAUGCAAGUUUAAAGGAAAAACAUAAUAUAAAUAACCGUGAAGUUAUGUUUCAUUGUGGUCAGUUAGUCCAUCUAAUUAAUCGGCUAUAACUAUUGCUAUAUAAGUGUGGAGCGCGCAUGUUCCUCGCUAAGUAUAUCCAUACUCCAUACUGCGUAGAGAAUCCGCAGCUGCGCGUCAGAUUGUCAGUAUUAAGUUGCGGCGUAAACAGUCACAAUGAAGCUCAGUCUCGUGCUGGUACUUAGCGUCUGCGCACUAGCCAUGGCAGCUCCAACGAAAGUGUAUUACAACCUGGAUGAAGCCCCGCAGUUGUUUGAGACAUUCAUCAAGGACUACCAAAAAGAAUACAAGGAUGACGCUGACAAACAGGUGCAUUACGAAGCGUUCAAAAAUAAUUUGAGUAAAAUCAAUCAACAAAACGAACAGAGUAAAUCUGCGACGUUCGGAAUAAACAAGUUUGCUGAUUACACGGACGAAGAUAGAAAAGGCAUGUUUGGAUUCGGAGCGCGGAAACAGUGAUUAUAAUAUUAAAUAAUGCAAUCAUACACAAAUUGAAGAAGAGUGUCUAUGUACCUAUUUGAAAAAAAAAACGAUGUAUUCUCAUUAUUUUUUUUAAUAAAAUAUUAAAUUAAAGUUA